rnacentral:lncRNA from 1 species
UGAAAAUUCAAAGAAAAAGUGAAGAAAUCAAGGAAACAAGCUAGGUAAGUUAGAAUUUCUUUAGUUCUCCUUGAUACCUAGCUUACCCAUGCUUUUGUUCUUGAUUUCCAUGGUUGAAUAUUGAGUUAUUAUGAUGAAUUCAAUUAUGAAAAANNNNNNNNNNNNNNNNNNNNNNNNNNNNNNNNNNNNNNNNNNNNNNNNNNNUUGUUAGAUUAAUUUGAUUUUAAGUUAUGUUAGUGUUUUAAGUUAGUUUAGCAUAUUUAGAAACAAAACAAUAAGAAAAGAAUUUAUUUUCUCCCACAACCCUUAAUGGUCGAAUUUACCAUGUGUUGAGUGAGGAUGAAUUUGAUUUUCAUUCUAGGAGAAUUGGUUAAGAAAUGAUGAAUUAUGAGCCUAGAAAAAUAAUGAGAAUUUCAAGAGCAAAAAUACGAAUUUUUACCCACUAGGGGUAUUUUCAUAAUUUGCUACCGAGACUGAUAAAUUGAAUCUCAUUCACAGUCAUUAAGGUAAUUCAGGUAUAAUUGGAGUGUAAAAAUUUAUUUGGAGUUAAAUUGGAGAAAAUAGGCUGAAUUAGGUCAGCACCGCAUUUAAGCGGUAGUUUGAUAAGUUGUAUAUCAUAUCAUGCAUAUAUACCGAGCCUAAAUUGAUUUUAUAAUGGUCAAGCAUUGAUGUGAUGAAUUAUGUAUUGUACAUUGUGGAUAGGUGGUGAGCAAAGUACACUGGUAAAAGUACAAAAAUUGUGCUUGGAGACUGGGAUUAGGAGUACAUCGACUCCUAGAACAGUGAGUAAACUUAUUAUCGUCUUAAUUAUCUAGAGUAGUUUUAUACAAUUGUGUGAUUUUAUGAAAAAUGAGUUUAAAUGGUAAAUUGCUAUGUUUUAAGAGAAAUUGUGAUUUUAUAAAAUGAUUUUAUAAAUUUUCUGAAAAAUUGAAUACUGGUUUUGAAAUAGAGUAAUUGGAGACUGCUUGCUUGUGUUGCAAAUUUAUGAUUUUGAAUUGAAUGGCUUAUGACAAUAAAUGAGCAUGAAUGGCUAAACUAAUUUUGGUGUUAGAAUUAUUUAUACUGUGUAUUCAACCUUGAGAGGCUAGGUUGUGACAAAUUGCCAUGUCAUGCUAGAAUGAAUUUUAUUGUUUGGUGGAUUAUAUAUUAAUUAUUCAUUGUAGAGGGGGUUCCGUGGACUAGCCUAUUAGAGGGGCACGGUAAACUCCAGUAUAUUCUUACCCUGAACGGAGAGGCGCGUAGGGUAUCUCCUAGGGUAAAGCUUAGGGUUCACUUCACGCUAAACCACCACGUGAAGGGGAACUCAGCCAACGCCAAGGAACGACUGUAUUUUCUCAAACUAAAAAUAUAUUUUAAGUGUAUACGAAAUUUUAACAACCUUGGUGGGCUCGGUAGGAUGCCCUGCGCAAGGUAUCACCGAGUAUGAGUUUUGGCAUGAGCCAAAGUUUUAAAAAGUUCAUAAGCCAAGUUGAUUUCUCGAUUUAUAUGGAUUGAUUUUAUUUGGUUGAAAUGAGUUGAAAGGUAACGAAAUUAUAGUAUGAUGACUUAUUUUGAUUGUCUCAAUUUACUCGACUUUAGAUAGUUUAGAUGGUAUCUGUUUACUCACUGGGAUUUUAUAAUCUCACCACCCUCAUUUCCUCACAUUUCAG